UAAUAACUUAUUAAUAGAGUUGGAAAAUACGAACAAUAGUUUAAACACCAAAGAAUUUGGCGGUAUCUUAUUUAAUUAGGGGAACCUGUCCCAUAAUCGAUAAUCCACGAAAGUCUUACCUAAUUUUGAAACUCAGUUAGUGUACUGCCGUCUCAAGUAUACCUUUAUGAGAGUAUACAAUAAAUUAUAAAUAAAUAGGACGUCAGGUCAAAGUGCUGCUUAUAAUUAGGAUGGAGAUGGGUUACAAACUUAAUAGAGAUAUGGAAAAAUAUAUUAAAUAUAUAUUUAAAAAGUGGACUUAAUAGUAAUUAAAUAAUAAUUUAAUGAAUAUAAUACUAAGAUAUGUACACAUCGCCCGUCACU
rnacentral:rRNA from 1 species